rnacentral:rRNA from 1 species
AGAGUUUGAUCAUGGCUCAGAUUGAACGCUGGCGGCAGGCCUAACACAUGCAAGUCGAACGGUAACAGGAAGCAGCUUGCUGCUUCGCUGACGAGUGGCGGACGGGUGAGUAAUGUCUGGGAAGCUGCCUGAUGGAGGGGGAUAACUACUGGAAACGGUAGCUAAUACCGCAUAAUGUCGCAAGACCAAAGAGGGGGACCUUCGGGCCUCUUGCCAUCGGAUGUGCCCAGAUGGGAUUAGCUUGUUGGUGGGGUAACGGCUCACCAAGGCGACGAUCCCUAGCUGGUCUGAGAGGAUGACCAGCCACACUGGAACUGAGACACGGUCCAGACUCCUACGGGAGGCAGCAGUGGGGAAUAUUGCACAACGGGCGCAAGCCUGAUGCAGCCAUGCCGCGUGUAUGAAGAAGGCCUUCGGGUUGUAAAGUACUUUCAGCGGGGAGGAAGGGAGUAAAGUUAAUACCUUUGCUCAUUGACGUUACCCGCAGAAGAAGCACCGGCUAACUCCGUGCCAGCAGCCGCGGUAAUACGGAGGGUGCAAGCGUUAAUCGGAAUUACUGGGCGUAAAGCGCACGCAGGCGGUUUGUUAAGUCAGAUGUGAAAUCCCCGGGCUCAACCUGGGAACUGCAUCUGAUACUGGCAAGCUUGAGUCUCGUAGAGGGGGGUAGAAUUCCAGGUGUAGCGGUGAAAUGCGUAGAGAUCUGGAGGAAUACCGGUGGCGAAGGCGGCCCCCUGGACGAAGACUGACGCUCAGGUGCGAAAGCGUGGGGAGCAAACAGGAUUAGAUACCCUGGUAGUCCACGCCGUAAACGAUGUCGACUUGGAGGUUGUGCCCUUGAGGCGUGGCUUCCGGAGCUAACGCGUUAAGUCGACCGCCUGGGGAGUACGGCCGCAAGGUUAAAACUCAAAUGAAUUGACGGGGGCCCGCACAAGCGGUGGAGCAUGUGGUUUAAUUCGAUGCAACGCGAAGAACCUUACCUGGUCUUGACAUCCACGGAAGUUUUCAGAGAUGAGAAUGUGCCUUCGGGAACCGUGAGACAGGUGCUGCAUGGCUGUCGUCAGCUCGUGUUGUGAAAUGUUGGGUUAAGUCCCGCAACGAGCGCAACCCUUAUCCUUUGUUGCCAGCGGUCCGGCCGGGAACUCAAAGGAGACUGCCAGUGAUAAACUGGAGGAAGGUGGGGAUGACGUCAAGUCAUCAUGGCCCUUACGACCAGGGCUACACACGUGCUACAAUGGCGCAUACAAAGAGAAGCGACCUCGCGAGAGCAAGCGGACCUCAUAAAGUGCGUCGUAGUCCGGAUUGGAGUCUGCAACUCGACUCCAUGAAGUCGGAAUCGCUAGUAAUCGUGGAUCAGAAUGCCACGGUGAAUACGUUCCCGGGCCUUGUACACACCGCCCGUCACACCAUGGGAGUGGGUUGCAAAAGAAGUAGGUAGCUUAACCUUCGGGAGGGCGCUUACCACUUUGUGAUUCAUGACUGGGGUGAAGUCGUAACAAGGUAACCGUAGGGGAACCUGCGGUUG